rnacentral:lncRNA from 1 species
CAAACUUAUUGGAAACGACACAUUGAACCAGGAGUUGGUUAUCUUCACUGGUGAAUUGGGAGAGGAAAUAAGGAUCCCAGUCUACCCCAUAAAUUUAUUUGGCGAGGAACUUGACAGCACUGGCAUUACUAUAGGCCAGUCAGCACAGAAAGAUCAAGCUUAGUAAUACUACUCUCGAUGAAGACUUUUGUCCUCUGAANGAACAGUUUAAGAAAAGAAGAUCAAUCCAUACUCAUCAUCAUUCUGCAGGAAAGGUUCAGAUGCCCAAACCACAAGGGAGCUGAGAAGGC